rnacentral:rRNA from 1 species
GUAGGGAAUAUUGCACAAUGGGCGAAAGCCUGAUGCAGCAACGCCGCGUGCGCGAUGACGGCCUCGGGUUGUAAAGCGCUUUUCGGGGAGAUGAGGAAGGACAGUAUCCCCGGAAUAAGGCUCGGCUAACUACGUGCCAGCAGCCGCGGUAACACGUAGGAGCCAAGCGUUAUCCGAAUUCACUGGGCGUAAAGCGCGUGUAGGCGGCUUAUUAAGUUGGAUGUGAAAGCUCCUGGCUCAGCUGGGAGAGGACGUUCAAAACUGGUAGGCUAGAGGGCGACAGAGGGAGGUGGAAUUCCCGGUGUAGUGGUGAAAUGCGUAGAUAUCGGGAGGAAUACCAGUGGCGAAGGCGGCCUCCUGGGUCGCACCUGACGCUCAGACGCGAAAGCUAGGGUAGCAAACGG